rnacentral:rRNA from 1 species
GACGAACGCUGGCGGCGUGCUUAACACAUGCAAGUCGAACGGAAAGGCCCUGCUUUUGUGGGGUGCUCGAUUGGCGAACGGGUGAGUAACACGUGAGUAACCUGCCCUUGACUUUGGGAUAACUUCAGGAAACUGGGGCUAAUACCGUAUAGGAGCUCCUGCUGCAUGGUGGGGGUUGGAAAGUUUCGGCGGUUGGGGAUGGACUCGCGGCUUAUCAGCUUGCUGGUGGGGUAGUGGCUUACCAAGGCUUUGACGGGUAGCCGGCCUGAGAGGGUGACCGGCCACAUUGGGACUGAGAUACGGCCCAGACGGCUACGGGAGGCAGCAGUGGGGAAUAUUGCACAAUGGGAGGAAGCCUGAUGCAGCAACGCCGCGUGCGGGAUGACGGCCUUCGGGUUGUAAACCGCUUUCGCCUGUGACGAAGCGUGAGUGACGGUAAUGAGUAAAGAAGCACCGGCUAACUACGUG